UUGCCAGCCCGCUCAAGAACUCAAAGGAAUUGACGGGGGCCCGCACAAGCGGUGGAGUAUGUGGUUUAAUUCGAUGCAACGCGAAGAACCUUACCUGGUCUUGACAUCCCGGAGACCCUUAGGAAACUAGGGGGUGCUUCCAUCUGGAAGAAUCUGGAGACAGGUGCUGCAUGGCUGUCGUCAGCUCGUGUCGUGAGAUGUUGGGUUAAGUCCCGCAACGAGCGCAACCCUUGCCUUUAGUUGCCAGCAGUUCGGCUGGGCACUCUAAAGGGACUGCCGGUGUUAAACCGGAGGAAGGUGGGGAUGACGUCAAGUCCUCAUGGCCUUUAUGACCAGGGCUACACACGUACUACAAUGGCCGAUACAAAGGGCAGCGACACUGCGAGGUGAAGCCAAUCCCGUAAAAUCGGUCUCAGUCCGGAUUGGAGUCUGCAACUCGACUCCAUGAAGUUGGAAUCGCUAGUAAUCGUGGAUCAGCAUGCCACGGUGAAUACGUUCCCGGGCCUU
rnacentral:rRNA from 1 species